rnacentral:rRNA from 1 species
AAACCAACAGGGAUUGCCUUAGUAACGGCGAGUGAAGCGGCAAGAGCUCAAAUUUGAAAUCUGGCGUCUUUGGGCGUCCGAAUUGUAAUUUGUAGAGGUAUCUUUGGAAACGGCCCUGGCAUAUGUUCCUUGGAACAGGACGUCAUAGAGGGUGAGAACCCCGUAUGUGGUUGGGUGUCCGUUUCUUUGUAAAGUGCCUUCGACGAGUCGAGUUGUUUGGGAAUGCAGCUCUAAGUGGGUGGUAAAUUCCAUCUAAAGCUAAAUAUUGGCGAGAGACCGAUAGCGAACAAGUACAGUGAUGGAAAGAUGAAAAGAACUUUGAAAAGAGAGUGAAAAAGUACGUGAAAUUGUUGAAAGGGAAGCGUUUAAAACCAGACACGGUUAAAAGAUGAUCAUCGUCCCUCGUGGGCUGUGCUAUCGCUUUUUUCUGGCCAGCAUCAGUUUGAGUGGUGGGAUAAGAGCAUUGGAAUGUAGCUCUUCGGAGUGUUAUAGCCUUUGUUGAUACCGCUACUUGGACUGAGGUUCUUCACUGAACGCUGGCGUAAUGGUUUUAAGCGGC